UAAUACAUGCAAGUCGUACGCUUCUUUUUCCACCGGAGCUUGCUCCACCGGAAAAAGAAGAGUGGCGAACGGGUGAGUAACACGUGGGUAACCUGCCCAUCAGAAGGGGAUAACACUUGGAAACAGGUGCUAAUACCGUAUAACAAUCGAAACCGCAUGGUUUUGAUUUGAAAGGCGCUUUCGGGUGUCGCUGAUGGAUGGACCCGCGGUGCAUUAGCUAGUUGGUGAGGUAACGGCUCACCAAGGCCACGAUGCAUAGCCGACCUGAGAGGGUGAUCGGCCACAUUGGGACUGAGACACGGCCCAAACUCCUACGGGAGGCAGCAGUAGGGAAUCUUCGGCAAUGGACGAAAGUCUGACCGAGCAACGCCGCGUGAGUGAAGAAGGUUUUCGGAUCGUAAAACUCUGUUGUUAGAGAAGAACAAGGAUGAGAGUAACUGUUCAUCCCUUGACGGUAUCUAACCAGAAAGCCACGGCUAACUACGUGCCAGCAGCCGCGGUAAUACGUAGGUGGCAAGCGUUGUCCGGAUUUAUUGGGCGUAAAGCGAGCGCAGGCGGUUUCUUAAGUCUGAUGUGAAAGCCCCCGGCUCAACCGGGGAGGGUCAUUGGAAACUGGGAGACUUGAGUGCAGAAGAGGAGAGUGGAAUUCCAUGUGUAGCGGUGAAAUGCGUAGAUAUAUGGAGGAACACCAGUGGCGAAGGCGGCUCUCUGGUCUGUAACUGACGCUGAGGCUCGAAAGCGUGGGGAGCAAACAGGAUUAGAUACCCUGGUAGUCCACGCCGUAAACGAUGAGUGCUAAGUGUUGGAGGGUUUCCGCCCUUCAGUGCUGCAGCUAACGCAUUAAGCACUCCGCCUGGGGAGUACGACCGCAAGGUUGAAACUCAAAGGAAUUGACGGGGGCCCGCACAAGCGGUGGAGCAUGUGGUUUAAUUCGAAGCAACGCGAAGAACCUUACCAGGUCUUGACAUCCUUUGACCACUCUAGAGAUAGAGCUUCCCCUUCGGGGGCAAAGUGACAGGUGGUGCAUGGUUGUCGUCAGCUCGUGUCGUGAGAUGUUGGGUUAAGUCCCGCAACGAGCGCAACCCUUAUUGUUAGUUGCCAUCAUUUAGUUGGGCACUCUAGCAAGACUGCCGGUGACAAACCGGAGGAAGGUGGGGAUGACGUCAAAUCAUCAUGCCCCUUAUGACCUGGGCUACACACGUGCUACAAUGGGAAGUACAACGAGUCGCGAAGUCGCGAGGCUAAGCUAAUCUCUUAAAGCUUCUCUCAGUUCGGAUUGUAGGCUGCAACUCGCCUACAUGAAGCCGGAAUCGCUAGUAAUCGCGGAUCAGCACGCCGCGGUGAAUACGUUCCCGGGCCUUGUACACACCGCCCGUCACACCACGAGAGUUUGUAACACCCGAAGUCGGUGAGGU
rnacentral:rRNA from 1 species